UACGUAGGGGGCAAGCGUUGUCCGGAAUCAUUGGGCGUAAAGCGCGCGUAGGCGGCCCGGUAAGUCCGCUCUGAAAGUCCAGGGCUUAACCCUGGAAAGCGGGUGGAUACUGCCGGGCUUGAAUCCGGAAGAGGCGAGUGGAAUUCCUGGUGUAGCGGUGGAAUGCGCAGAUAUCAGGAGGAACACCGGUGGCGAAGGCGACGUCCUGGACCGGCAUUGACGCUGAGGCGCGAAAGCCAGGGGAGCAAACGGG
rnacentral:rRNA from 1 species